rnacentral:misc_RNA from 1 species
AAGGAUCAUUACCACGCGAUCCAAAACGCUCACUCAAUCAUAACUAAAAUUGUCUCACUCUGCGUGCUUCGGCGCGCGGGGCGGGCUGUAACUCACCCCCUUUUCAAACUCCCAUUGAGGACACCGAAGCAACUUCGGCAAGACCCUGGGUGCGAUGUCUGUCUGUGUGCGUGGCCUGGCUAAACGCCGGGACGCCGCGCGGGCGCAUCCCCUGGAACCAUAUCACAAUGCUUUACAACUUUUAGCAACGGAUAUCUUGGCUCUU